AACGAACGCUAGCGGGAUGCCUUAUACAUGCAAGUCGAACGGGUGGCGGACGGGUGAGCAAUAUAUCGGAACGUGCCCAGUCGCGGGGGCUAACUAGUCGAAAGAGUGGCUAAUACUGCAUACUACUGGAGCGGCCGAUAUCGGAUUAGCUAGUUGGUGGGGUAAAGGCUCAUCAAGGCAACGAUCCAUAGCUGGUUUGAGAGGACGACCGGCCACACUGGGACUGAGACACGGCCCAGACGCCUACGGGAGGCAGCAGUGGGGAAUUUUGGGCAAUGGGGGAAACCCUGAUCCAGCCAUCCCGCGUGUAUGAGAAGGCCUUCGGGUUGUAAAGUACUUUUGGCAGAGAAGCGGUAUCUGCAGAAUAAGCACCGGCUAACUACGUGCCAGCAGCCGCGGUAAUUC
rnacentral:rRNA from 1 species